rnacentral:rRNA from 1 species
GAUGAACGCUAGCUACAGGCUUAACACAUGCAAGUCGAGGGGCAGCAUGAAGUCAGCUUGCUGACUUUGAUGGCGACCGGCGCACGGGUGAGUAACGCGUAUCCAACCUUCCCCUUACUCAGGAAUAGCCCGUUGAAAGACGGAUUAAUGCCUGAUGUUCUCAUGUUGCCGCAUGGCGAUAUGAGCAAAGAUUCAUCGGUAAGGGAUGGGGAUGCGUAUGAUUAGCUUGUUGGCGGGUAACGGCCCACCAAGGCAACGAUCAUUAGGGGUUCUGAGAGGAAGGUCCCCCACACUGGAACUGAGACACGGUCCAG